AUGUAUGUGAGGAAUCUUGCACGGAGGCUCCACAAGUGCAAAAUCCCUUCGCUUCUCUUCAAGUUGGACAUUCGGAAGGCAUUUGAUUCAGUCAAGUGGGAGUAUAUCAUUGACCUCCUCCGCCAUAGGGGGUUCCCGAGCAUUUUCAGAGAUUGGAUCACCGCCCUACUUUGCUCCUCUUCCUCGCGGAUUCUUCUUAACGGCGUCGCUGGCAGCCCCAUCAUCCAUGGCCAGGGUCUCCGGCAGGGGGACCCUAUAUCCCCCUUGCUAUUUGUGCUCGCGAUCGACCCACUCCAAAGAAUUCUUGAGAUGGCAGCAACUAGAGGGCUAUUUCAUAAAAUCCGUGGCCGU
rnacentral:rRNA from 1 species